GAUGAACGCUGGCGGCGUGCUUAACACAUGCAAGUCGAACGGUGAAGCAGAGCUUGCUCUGUGGAUCAGUGGCGAACGGGUGAGUAACACGUGAGCAACCUGCCCCUGACUCUGGGAUAAGCGCUGGAAACGGCGUCUAAUACUGGAUAUGAGCUGCGACCGCAUGGUCAGCAGUUGGAAAGAUUUUUCGGUCUGGGAUGGGCUCACGGCCUAUCAGCUUGUUGGUGAGGUAAUGGCUCACCAAGGCGUCGACGGGUAGCCGGCCUGAGAGGGUGACCAGCCACACUGGGACUGAGACACGGCCCAGACUCCUACGGGAGGCAGCAGUGGGGAAUAUUGCACAAUGGGCGAAAGCCUGAUGCAGCAACGCCGCGUGAGGGAUGACGGCCUUCGGGUUGUAAACCUCUUUUAGCAGGGAAGAAGCGAAAGUGACGGUACCUGCAGAAAAAGCGCCGGCUAACUACGUG
rnacentral:rRNA from 1 species